AUCAUUCAGAGUAAUUGACUAGAUAAUGGGUUUUUCCAUUUUAAUGGUUUUUGCGUGCAAUCAGCCAAUGACACACUGAAAAUUAUAGCAUGCAGGGAACAACACAAGAAGUUAGCAACCCUUGAGAUGGAGCUAGCGACAGCACAGCAGGAAGAUUUUGCCUCAAAGAACUUGUUAGAAAAUAAGGGGACUCCUCCCAAGAAAAGGCUUUUAGCUGUUGUUGGAAUUAUUACAAAGUUUGGCCACAAGAACAAUAGAGAUGCAAUCUGUAGGGGCAUGGAUGCCAACUGGUAGAAUGCCCUUCUUUUUAUAAGUUUCGCUCUUUAUUCUUUGUAUGAUUUACAUAGAGAAUGACCUAGUUGGCACUUAACACAUUGACAUUUCUGUUAUAAGCAUAUAAGGGAUAAAAAUAGGAGGCUCGUAGGCUGAACUCUUAUUAACAUGAAAACUUUUAGUGAACUUCCAUUUCUCAUCUA